rnacentral:tRNA from 1 species
UGGGGUUGUGGCUCAGCGGUAGAGCACUGGCCUCACAUGUGCGGGGCCCUGGGUUCGAUCCUCAGCACCACAA